rnacentral:rRNA from 1 species
UACGGAGGGGGCUAGCGUUGUUCGGAAUUACUGGGCGUAAAGCGCACGUAGGCGGAUUGGAAAGUCGGGGGUGAAAUCCCGGGGCUCAACCCCGGAACUGCCUUCGAAACUCCCAGUCUGGAGUCCGAGAGAGGUGAGUGGAAUUCCGAGUGUAGAGGUGAAAUUCGUAGAUAUUCGGAGGAACACCAGUGGCGAAGGCGGCUCACUGGCUCGGUACUGACGCUGAGGUGCGAAAGCGUGGGGAGCAAACAGG